AAGUCAUGUUGAGGGCAAUGUCAUAACAGUAUCUUGUCCCGUUCCCAAGCUUCGUAUAAUGACUCCCCUUCUAAUUGUUAAAAAUUCUGGAUGUUUCUUUUAAGCUU